GAUGAACGCUGGCGGCGUGCCUAAUACAUGCAAGUCGAGCGAACGGACGAGAAGCUUGCUUCUCUGAUGUUAGCGGCGGACGGGUGAGUAACACGUGGAUAACCUACCUAUAAGACUGGGAUAACUUCGGGAAACCGGAGCUAAUACCGGAUAAUAUUUUGAACCGCAUGGUUCAAAAGUGAAAGACGGUCUUGCUGUCACUUAUAGAUGUAUCCGCGCUGCAUUAGUUAGUUGGUAAGGUAACGGCUUACCAAGGCAACGAUGCAUAGCCGACCUGAGAGGGUGAUCGGCCACACUGGAACUGAGACACGGUCCAGACUCCUACGGGAGGCAGCAUUAGGGAAUCUUCCGCAAUGGGCGAAAGCCUGACGGAGCAACGCCGCGUGAGUGAUGAAGGUCUUCGGAUCGUAAGACUCUGUUAUUAGGGAAGAACAUAUGUGUAAGUAACUGUGCACAUCUUGACGGUACCUAAUCAGAAAGCCACGGCUAACUACGUG
rnacentral:rRNA from 1 species